rnacentral:rRNA from 1 species
AUUCCAGCUCCAAUAGCGUAUACUAAAGUUGCUGCAGUUAAAAAGCUCGUAGUUGGAUUUCUGGUCGUGGUCGCCGGUCGUGCCCAAACGGGUUCUGUACCUGGCGCCCGCGUCCAUCCUCGGGGAGAGCGUGUCUGGCAUUAAGUUGUCGGGCUCGGGACCCCCGUCAUUUACUGUGAGCAAAAUAGAGUGUUCAAAGCAGGCUUAGGCCAUGAAUACAUUAGCAUGGAAUAAUAAGACAAGACCUUGGUCUAUUUUGUUGGUUUGCAUUCCAAGGUAAUGAUUAAUAGGGUUAGUUGGGGGUAUUCGUAUUCAAUUGUCAGAGGUGAAAUUCUUGGAUUUAUGGAAGACGAACUACUGCGAAAGCAUUUACCAAGGAUGUUUUCAUCA